rnacentral:rRNA from 1 species
UACGUAGGGUGCAAGCGUUAAUCGGAAUUACUGGGCGUAAAGCGUGCGCAGGCGGUUAUGUAAGUCAGAUGGGAAAUCCCCGGGCUUAACCUGGGAAUGGCAUUUGAGACUGCAUGGCUAGAGUGUGUCAGAGGGGGGUAGAAUUCCACGUGUAGCAGUGAAAUGCGUAGAGAUGUGGAGGAACACCGAUGGCGAAGGCAGCCCCCUGGGUCAAGAUUGACGCUCAUGCACGAAAGCGUGGGGAGCAAACAGG